UAGUGUGGGUCCGGUUUGACUCCCAACAAAGGUCUAUGAAGAGGGGGACAAAAUAUUGAGCAAAAUAAACAUUUGGAAGACUGAAAUUCUGUGUUUAUAUGUAUAUAUACUGUACAGAUUAUAUUUUAUAAUGAAAAACAUGUACAUGCUUCUGGCUUGUGCAAAUAUGCUGAUUGCCAGUUAGUGCUCUACUCAGCUCAGCUGGGGGCAAUAAUUAGCCAGCUCCCUGCAGAUCCUUGCUCCAUGCUGUACCUUGUACCUCUGUGCUGUGUUUGCCUCAGAAGCCUCUGGAGUCUGUGAAGUUUCCUUUUCUUCUGGAUUUCAAAACAUACUGCACUUGCUUGCAUGUAGCUCUUCAUCUCUUCACGUUUACGAUGGAGUCUAUUUGGCGAUAACAGAGUCACAGUGUGUAAAGUUGGGGUGCUGAAGGCAAGUUUGGAGCCAUUGGACAGGCCCACUGAUGUCCUCCAGCAUGAUAUAAAGGUGUCACAAAUGAUCACAUCAUUCAAGCGCGCUGCACAGCUUGAACACAGACCACAGCAUGCCACAAUGGAUUGCUGAUGAUGCGAGGCCGGAGGAAUUGUUCUCCUAUGUCAUUACUGUUAAGAGGAGGUGACUGAGGAAUGAGUUUGCUAUCAUAAACUCGGAUGAACAUUCAGUCAUUUAAUGUAACACUUUGUAUUAAGAUUUUUGCAAAAAAUUGUGGUAGACAUGAAAAGAGCUGAAAAAAAUAAAUACAUAAAAACAAA